GCAUUGCUCCGACUCAUCUCUUCAGAAGCCUGAAGCCCCAAGGAAAUUAAGAUGGAAAUGCAGCGAAAGCUUGUGGUGGUGAUGGUGCUGCUGAUCAUGGCGGCCGCAUUUGAGACCCAAGUAGCGAGGUCCAAGGAAGUGAAUCUAUGUAACAUGAGCGAGGAUGACCUAAUGGCUUGCAAGCCUGCUGUCAUCAAGCCAAACCCUGCCGAUCCGACUCCGGCGUGUUGCAAGGCUUUGUCCGGCGCUGACUUGUCUUGCCUUUGUUCUUAUAAGCACUCCUUGCUGUUGCCCACCUUCGGCAUUGACCCAGACCUUGCCAUGCAACUCCCUACCAAGUGCAAACUCACUCCACCAGCCAACUGCGAAUAAGCUGAUCAUCGAUCGAGGUUUUAUCAACAAUGAUGAGAAAUAUUUACCUCAAGUCUAAUCAUCAAUUGGGAUGGACUGUUGUUGCAACUUGCAAGAAAAGAACAAGGGACUGACUGGAGGUUGUUCCUCCAUGAAUGCCUUCAAUAGAUGUGUUGUAUUGUCUUGUGUUGUGGGGUUUCCCUUUUUCUUUAAUUUGUUUGAGCUGGUGUGUUUUAAUCUUGUACCCAUUAGACUGGGCUUAUUUUCUCUCUUCUUCUUUAGCUCUCUUAUGUCCCCCUGUAUUAAGAAUGGUUAAGCUCACUGUGCUAUAAAGAAAUUAUAUAAUCAAUAUAUACGUUAACUUGUUUUUCGGCUGUUCCA